CGGUAGGUGGAAUGCAUUGUGGGAAUGGGGCUGCAGUAGGUGGGGUGGGUGUGGGAUGUGUCGUGGGUAUGGGGCUGCGGUAGGUGGGAUGUGUCGUGGGUAUGGGGCUGCUGUAGGUGGGAUGUGUCGUGGGAAUGGGGUUGCGGUAGGUGGGAUGUGUCGUGGGAAUGGGGCUGCUGUAGGUGGGAUGUGUCGUGGGUAUGGGGCUGCGGUAGGUGGGAUGUGUCGUGGGUAUGGGGCUGCGGUAGGUGGGAUGUGUCGUGGGUAUGGGGCUGCGGUAGGUGGGAUGUGUCGUGGGUAUGGGGCUGCGGUAGGUGGGAUGUGUCGUGGGUAUGGGGCUGCGGUAGGUGGGAUGUGUCGUGGGUAUGGGGCUGCGGUAGGUGGGAUGUGUCGUGGGUAUGGGCUGAGGUAGGUGGCUUGCAUCCUGACUGGACUGUGGUGUG